AUCAAACAGAAAGGUGGUAGUAUUGUAGCCUAUGGGGUGUAUCCGAGGCGCGAUGAUUGCUAGUUGAAAACUUUUCGAAACCUUAAGAAAAGUCGCGCUAUUCUUAAACUAUUUAAACAAGAUGAAU
rfam:Lepisosteus oculatus linkage group LG19, whole genome shotgun sequence.